rnacentral:lncRNA from 1 species
CUAUCUCCGGUGUCUUCCAUACCUCUCCAGCCAUCAACCUUCAACAGCGCCAACCGAACUUCAAUAGUGCCAACCAGACCCCUCCAAUGGAUAAAUUCCCUCUGGACCCCUCCAGCAGUCGACCUUCCACAGUGUCCUCCAGACCCCUCCAGCAGACGAACAUCCACAAUGCCUUCCAGACUCUUCUAUCGGUCGAUCUUCUAUCGAAUUCCUCAUGCAAUCGGACUUCUCCAGCGAACAGUCUAC